UACGUAGGGGGCAAGCGUUGUCCGGAUUUAUUGGGCGUAAAGAGCGUGUAGGCGGCCUGAAAGGUCAGCUGUGAAAACUCGAGGCUCAACCUCGAGACGUCGGUUGAAACCAUCUGGCUAGAGUCCGGAAGAGGAGUGUGGAAUUCCCGGUGUAGCGGUGAAAUGCGCAGAUAUCGGGAAGAACACCCGUGGCGAAGGCGGCACUCUGGGACGGUACUGACGCUCAGGCGCGACAGCGUGGGAUCAAACAGG
rnacentral:rRNA from 1 species